AAUAGGUUAAGACAUGCCGAGUCAAUUUUUGAGAAGGAGCAGGAGGAGGAAAAUUGGUGGCGACGAUGCAUAUAAAAUAUGGAGAAAUGCAGAUACGGACGUUCUAUGGGAAAUUUUCUUCUCCUACCAGAAGAAGAUUUGUUCUUUAAGAUUUCAAAGGUUUGUCAACGGUGGCGAUAUGUAUGUUGGGAGAUUUUGUUCUGGAUAAAUUACCAUACUAUAGAUUUCUCGGAGUUGAAAGAAGUUCUUUAUCAAGGGUAUAGUCCACGCAGAGUAAUGUCAAAAUCGAAGCACGGUACUUAUUUUGGGGAAUUUGGCAUAAGUUUACAGUACGAAAACAUAUUACCCCAUGGAUUGAACUGGAUCUUGGACUCUGUUGCCUAUAGAGAUCGUCUGAACUAUGUUACAGAAGUGAUUUUACCAAGUAAUAUUUACACAAGUGAUGACAACCUCGUUCACAUUAGCAAAAGGUUACCAAAUCUUAAAAAGUUAAGACUGUUCAGCGCGGGGGAUUUAUAAGGGCUAGCAGGAAUUGGAAGAAGCUGGAAGAGUUAUCAAUAGGAAGUCGCACAAACUGCAGGAGCUUGAAUUCUAUCUGGUUUUGAACUGCCAUUCUCUGGAGAAUCCAGCCUUAAGUUCGACAAUAUUAUUUCCUUGCACGUUAGAGAUCUUCGUCAGCUUCGAGUUUUGACAAUUACAAGUGCCGGGGUACAGAAGGAGGGGGUAGAGACUAUUAUGGCCAACUGUGAAAUGUUAUCAAGGCUAAAUCUUGUUGACUGCGCUAGAUUGGACUCUGGAAUGUAUCGUCUUCCUACCAUCUCAGCAGAAGUGAAAAGGAAUCAUACAAAAUGGUACUUGACGCACAAGAGGAGUUGUCUAGCAUACAAGAGUUGAUUGAGCAGUUUUGGACUUUGUGACACUGAGACGAUGCUUGAUAUAUGUGCGGUACCAGUAAUUGCAGAAAAGUGCAAGAAGUCAAGGAAAGCUCACCCACAUGUUAGCCAUGUAUAGCUGUUGAUGGCUUGAUGCAAUUAGAAUUUAAUUCGUCGAGUUGACUUUUUUAUUGUGAACCCAAUUCCAUAAUUGAACGUUGGAGGCGGAAAAAUGCAUGUGAUCGCGAAUGAAAUGGAUCAUGUCUUGUGUAAACAAUACUGUGUUAAUAUAUGGGUAUGUUUUC